CCCCGGCCGACGGCCCACCUGGGCUUCGUGAACAGUGGGAGGGAUGAGUCUGGAGCCAGGAGAGGGACGGUGCAGGAUCAGGGAAAGGGUAUUUGAUAACAACCAUUAAGAAAGAAGAAAAGGAGGAUGUUCGAAGGAGAAACCAUGUAAAUACAUCACGAGUGUUCAUGAUGUGGGGGAAAGAUCUGCUGAGCCGGCCUGAGCUGAGAAAUGAGGGAAGGCAGACAUAUGUAUGAGCACCCGUGCAGAGAGGGGAACAUCAACUUAGUGUCUUGUCCAUGCGACUGAAAUGUCUUCCAGUUGUCUUCGAGAAGAAUGUCCUCAUUUGAGUUUCCCUGAAAGCGGAGGGCCUGAGACAGAAGAUGGUACUUAAGCCUGAAUUCUAAGUCACCUCUUGGAGAUUUGCUCAUUUCUUUGGGUAUCUCCCAGUAUACAUGAGGUAUAUAUGUUAUUAAACUUCCAUUUGCUAUACUAUGCAGCCAUAAAAAAGGAUGAGUUCAUGUCUUUUGUAGGGAUAUGGAUGAAGCUGGAAACCAUCA